CUCAUUAGUACCUAUGAGUUUCUAUGCUUAACUAUGAUCUUCCGUCUUAUUUGAAUAAUUUUUAUGAUUAGCAUUUUUCUAUUAUUAGAUGAUAAUACUUCUAUUUUUAAUUUUAUUAAAAAAAGUAAAUAAGGUGGAUGAUCGAAGUUGGACACCGAAAAUUAUGGCUAUACUUAGA
rnacentral:pre_miRNA from 1 species